CCUACGGGUGGCAGCAGUGAGGAAUAUUGGUCAAUGGACGAGAGUCUGAACCAGCCAAGUAGCGUGAAGGAUGACUGCCCUAUGGGUUGUAAACUUCUUUUAUAUGGGAAUAAAAUGUUCCACGUGUGGCAUUUUGUAUGUACCAUAUGAAUAAGGAUCGGCUAACUCCGUGCCAGCAGCCGCGGUAAUACGGAGGAUCCGAGCGUUAUCCGGAUUUAUUGGGUUUAAAGGGAGCGUAGGUGGGUUGUUAAGUCAGUUGUGAAAGUUUGCGGCUCAACCGUAAAAUUGCAAUUGAUACUGGCAGCCUUGAGUACAGUAGAGGUAGGCGGAAUUCGUGGUGUAGCGGUGAAAUGCUUAGAUAUCACGAAGAACUCCGAUUGCGAAGGCAGUUCACUGGACUGCAACUGACACUGAGGCUCGAAAGUGUGGGUAUCAAACAGGAUUAGAUACCCCUGUAGUC
rnacentral:rRNA from 1 species